UGCAAGUCGAACGGUGAAAGAGGAGCUUGCUCCUCUGGAUCAGUGGCGAACGGGUGAGUAACACGUGAGUAACCUGCCCCAGACUCUGGGAUAAGCACUGGAAACGGUGUCUAAUACCGGAUACGAGCUUCAGCCGCAUGGCUAGGAGCUGGAAAGAAUUUCGGUCUGGGAUGGACUCGCGGCCUAUCAGCUAGUUGGUGAGGUAACGGCCCACCAAGGCGACGACGGGUAGCCGGCCUGAGAGGGUGACCGGCCACACUGGGACUGAGACACGGCCCAGACUCCUACGGGAGGCAGCAGUGGGGAAUAUUGCACAAUGGGCGCAAGCCUGAUGCAGCAACGCCGCGUGAGGGACGACGGCCUUCGGGUUGUAAACCUCUUUUAGUAGGGAAGAAGCGAAAGUGACGGUACCUGCAGAAAAAGCACCGGCUAACUACGUGCCAGCAGCCGCGGUAAUACGUAGGGUGCAAGCGUUAUCCGGAAUUAUUGGGCGUAAAGAGCUCGUAGGCGGUUUGUCACGUCUGCUGUGAAAACUGGAGGCUCAACCUCCAGCCUGCAGUGGGUACGGGCAGACUAGAGUGCGGUAGGGGAGAUUGGAAUUCCUGGUGUAGCGGUGGAAUGCGCAGAUAUCAGGAGGAACACCGAUGGCGAAGGCAGAUCUCUGGGCCGUAACUGACGCUGAGGAGCGAAAGCAUGGGGAGCGAACAGGAUUAGAUACCCUGGUAGUCCAUGCCGUAAACGUUGGGAACUAGAUGUAGGGACCAUUCCACGGUUUCUGUGUCGCAGCUAACGCAUUAAGUUCCCCGCCUGGGGAGUACGGCCGCAAGGCUAAAACUCAAAGGAAUUGACGGGGGCCCGCACAAGCGGCGGAGCAUGCGGAUUAAUUCGAUGCAACGCGAAGAACCUUACCAAGGC
rnacentral:rRNA from 1 species